rnacentral:lncRNA from 10 species
UCUGUAGACAUCCUGGAGAGGCAGAGGUUGCAGUGAACCCUAAUUGCGCCAUUGCACUUCAGCCUGGGUGACAAGAGUGAAACUCCGUCUCAAAAAAAAAAAAAAAAAAAAAAAAAGCUUAUUUCUAAGAUAUCAUCUAUUCUCCAAUUUUGUACUUUUAUGAAUUCUGGCAAGAAGGGUUGGAGUGAUUCUGGGAAAGAACAUCCUUAGGCUGCCUUGAAGGGAGAAGAUAAUAUAGCUUUUCAUUUAAAAAAUGCUGAUAUCUACUUGCAAUCAAAAUCUAAGAAAACAUUCAAAAUGUGGUACUUUGCUUGAGGCAGAAUUUCUAACUAUCUUGUGAAUUAAUGAUAAGAUAAAUGAAAUGGCCAAACAAUCCCUUCAGUUUACCAGGUAAGAGGAUACAAAACUCCACACUUGUGCACAAUGAAGCUAUUCAGGUUUUGAUGAUACUUUACAGUGUCCCCUAUUAACAUUCAGCUUUUAAAACUAGUAUUCUGAUAAAGUGACAUUGUAUUAUUAGUUUUUUAUGGCAGUAGUAACUUAGCACUUAAUUAAUCCAGUCAUCUGUGACAUACAUAAACUUAUCCUGUAAAAAAGA